rnacentral:rRNA from 1 species
ACAUGCAAGUCGAACGAUGAAGCCCAGCUUGCUGGGUGGAUUAGUUGGCGAACGGGUGAGUAACACGUGAGUAACCUGCCCCUGACUCUGGGAUAAGCGUUGGAAACGACGUCUAAUACUGGAUAUGACUACUGGUCGCAUGGCCUGGUGGUGGAAAGAUUUUUUGGUUGGGGAUGGACUCGCGGCCUAUCAGCUUGUUGGUGAGGUAAUGGCUCACCAAGGCGACGACGGGUAGCCGGCCUGAGAGGGUGACCGGCCACACUGGGACUGAGACACGGCCCAGACUCCUACGGGAGGCAGCAGUGGGGAAUAUUGCACAAUGGGCGAAAGCCUGAUGCAGCAACGCCGCGUGAGGGAUGACGGCCUUCGGGUUGUAAACCUCUUUUAGUAGGGAAGAAGCGAAAGUGACGGUACCUGCAGAAAAAGCACCGGCUAACUACGUGCCAGCAGCCGCGGUAAUACGUAGGGUGCAAGCGUUGUCCGGAAUUAUUGGGCGUAAAGAGCUCGUAGGCGGUUUGUCGCGUCUGCUGUGAAAUCCCGAGGCUCAACCUCGGGCUUGCAGUGGGUACGGGCAGACUAGAGUGCGGUAGGGGAGAUUGGAAUUCCUGGUGUAGCGGUGGAAUGGGCAGAUAUCAGGAGGAACACCGAUGGCGAAGGCAGAUCUCUGGGCCGUAACUGACGCUGAGGAGCGAAAGCGUGGGGAGCGAACAGGAUUAGAUACCCUGGUAGUCCACGCCGUAAACGUUGGGCGCUAGAUGUAGGGACCUUUCCACGGUUUCUGUGUCGUAGCUAACGCAUUAAGCGCCCCGCCUGGGGAGUACGGCCGCAAGGCUAAAACUCAAAGGAAUUGACGGGGGCCCGCACAAGCGGCGGAGCAUGCGGAUUAAUUCGAUGCAACGCGAAGAACCUUACCAAGGCUUGACAUACACCGGAAACGGCCAGAGAUGGUCGCCCCCUUGUGGUCGGUGUACAGGUGGUGCAUGGUUGUCGUCAGCUCGUGUCGUGAGAUGUUGGGUUAAGUCCCGCAACGAGCGCAACCCUCGUUCUAUGUUGCCAGCGCGUUAUGGCGGGGACUCAUAGGAGACUGCCGGGGUCAACUCGGAGGAAGGUGGGGAUGACGUCAAAUCAUCAUGCCCCUUAUGUCUUGGGCUUCACGCAUGCUACAAU